UACGGGGGGGGGCAAGCGUUGUUCGGAAUUAUUGGGCGUAAAGAGCGUGUAGGCGGCCAGACAGGUCUGCUGUGAAAACUCGAGGCUCAACCUCGAGACGCCGGUGGAAACCGUCUGGCUAGAGUCCGGAAGAGGAGAGUGGAAUUCCUGGUGUAGCGGUGAAAUGCGUAGAGAUCCGGAAGAACACCGGUGGCGAAGGCGGCCUGCUGGGCAGUAGCUGACGCUGAUGCGCGACAGCGUGGGGAGCAAACAGG
rnacentral:rRNA from 1 species